rnacentral:rRNA from 1 species
CCUACGGGAGGCAGCAGUGGGGAAUAUUGCACAAUGGGGGAAACCCUGAUGCAGCAACGCCGCGUGAAGGAUGACGGUUUUCGGAUUGUAAACUUCUUUUCUUAGUGACGAAGACAGUGACGGUAGCUAAGGAAUAAGCAUCGGCUAACUACGUGCCAGCAGCCGCGGUAAUACGUAGGAUGCAAGCGUUAUCCGGAUUUACUGGGUGUAAAGGGAGCGCAGGCGGGACUGCAAGUUGGAUGUGAAAUACCGUGGCUUAACCACGGAACUGCAUCCAAAACUGUAGUUCUUGAGUGAAGUAGAGGCAAGCGGAAUUCCGAGUGUAGCGGUGAAAUGCGUAGAUAUUCGGAGGAACACCAGUGGCGAAGGCGGCUUGCUGGGCUUUAACUGACGCUGAGGCUCGAAAGUGUGGGGAGCAAACAGGAUUAGAUACCCUGGUAGUCCACACUGUAAACGAUGAUAGCUAGGUGUGGGGGGUCUGACCCCUUCCGUGCCGGAGUUAACGCAAUAAGCUAUCCACCUGGGGAGUACGACCGCAAGGUUGAAACUCAAAGGAAUUGACGGGGGCCCGCACAAGCAGUGGAGUAUGUGGUUUAAUUCGAAGCAACGCGAAGAACCUUACCAGGUCUUGACAUCCGAUGCAUAGCGCAGAGAUGCGUGAAGUCCUUCGGGACAUCGAGACAGGUGGUGCAUGGUUGUCGUCAGCUCGUGUCGUGAGAUGUUGGGUUAAGUCCCGCAACGAGCGCAACCC